CUUCUCCACUGACCACUUUUGCUUUUCCCCCAAUGCAGAGUCAGCGGUUUCUCUGCUGUGCCCAUUCUCAGCAGAUCUGGUUAAGGAUCAGAAGCUGCCUUUCCUCUGAUGCAUGCAAACUUUAGCCCCACACAUGAAGAUACUUUGAAACCAUCUGAUGCCAACCCGAGCUCAGAGACGAGGACUGUGAGGCCGAGAGGUUAACUGACUUGCCCAAACGAGACAGGAAGCACAAGGGCAGGUCUGUGAGUCCCUGGGAUGUGUUUCAACCAGCACAUCAGACAAGGACAAAGUCAUCAGCUCUGGACCCAUCGAGCACCCUGACUCCAGUGAAACAGGACAAGGAGUCCCCCAAGACCCAGGACAUCCUCCCCAUUGAAUCUUCAGCACCCAGUGCAAGCAAUAUGUUAUGGGUGGAUUCAUGAAGGGGACAUUCGUGCUUUCUGAAAGAUGCACUGUGGAAUUAGGAAGAUUUCCUGAGUGAAUUUCCACAUCUCCGUGGAUGGAGAACGGGUCCUGCUUUCCCAGAAAUGGUAACGUUCAAGAGCCUUGUUCUCAGAAUCCACUUUUUCUUUAAUGCUUAAAAUUUAAGUGCUAGGAACUUAAAACACCCCUGGUGAAAAUGACUUCUGGUUUUCUUGUAUUCCUCCUGGUUCCCUGGGCUGGCAGCUCUAGCUCUACAGCAAGAUGUAUCAGGCUUGGGGCUUAAAAGGGCCCCUGUAAGAAGAAUAGAAGGGCUUCCCAGGUGACACUAGUGGCAAAGAACCCGCCUGCCAAUGCAGGAGACAUGGAUUUGAUCCUUGGGUUGGGAAGAUCCUCUAGAGGAGGGCAUGGCAACCCACUCCAGUAUUCUUGCCUGGAGAAUCCCAUGGACAGAGGAGCCUGUGGGCUACAGUCCACAGGGUCGCAAAGAGCAUGAUAUGAUGGAAGCGACUUAGCACACACGCAAGGAAAAGAGAAGUGAAGCAUCAUCACAGCUCUGAAUGGAACUCCCGGCCUUUUAAACAUCUUGUGUUAAUGCAGCAGAAGCUUGCCUGGCAAGUGGACCAAAGGCGUUUCAGUAGAAAGGAAAGUACAUUGAAAAAGUAUGUUCACUUGGGUCGUGACUUUCCAGUAAAGUCUGACUCCAUGAAAAA